rnacentral:lncRNA from 10 species
CAGGAUGGAAAGGAGCCAUUUGUGAGGCACAAGCAUCAGCCUUUGCUGCCCUGCAGCCAGGGGCUGAUGGAGCUGGUGCUGGUAUAUCAGGGGGCCACUUAGACUUCCUUCAUCCCCAGAAUCAAAGGGACCAGAAACUUAGAAGAUGUCACAAUUUUAUCUGCUACUGACCCUGCAGGCAGGGCUGCCUGGUGGUGAAACAAUAUGGUAUGUAACAGAGUCGAGACAGGUUUGUGUAGGAUGGAUGCAGGCUCCAACCCUGUGCUGCACUGCCUGGCUGCCCGAUCUCCCUCAACGAGCCUCAGUUUUUCACCUGUAAAGUGGGGAUAAUGCGUCCACAUCUCAGGAUCAUUGUGAAGAGUGAGGACAUCACAUAUAAAAAAACUGGCCCACAGAAAGCAUGGAGUAAAUGCCAGCUGUUACAGCAGCUUCUGUAGGAAGGCAGAGCCUGCCUUGCAGCCACUCCACUGGCAAACGUGUCAAUAGGAAGAGUGAGAAGUGAGCAGUGCCUCCUGAGCUGAUGCCUACAGAGGAGCUGUGACAAUCUGCCUCUAGAACAACCUCAGCAAGCUGCCUGGCCCAGGGGAAAUCCAACCGUGGUGACUUUGCCCAGAUUCUGCAAGAUGCUUUCUAAUUGUUGGUGUUCACGAGGGACAAGCAACAGCUGAGCUCAUUCCCUUCCUAUCAAUUUGCAACAUCUGCCCCAGCCCUUACUGACAGUAGAGAAAAAUAAGGACUUUCCGAUCACACCUUUAGGCCACCAAUCUUCAAUGAGUUACUGGGCCCUUCCAGAAAUCAGAUUUUCUAACUGGUCCCUGCAUUGGCUCCAGCAGCUUUGGAGUGUGAGUGCUGUCUCUUUGGAGAGAUUGUGGGCUCCUUGAGGGCUCUGCCUUUUUGUUCUGUGUAGCCCCAGCACAUAGUAGGGGAAGUCACACAGGAAAUCCAAAAGCAUGGGAAGACCCUGGGCCGAGGGAGCAGAGGCUGAAACUCUGGGAAAAGCUGUGAGGACCACAAAAGUGGUUGGGCCCCUAAUGGCCUCAAGACCCGGGGUACAACAAACCCCACAGGAGGCCCAAUGACACCCCCUGUCCUAACUCAGCUCAGGAAGAGGCAGCUGCCAUGGUUUAAAGAAUGUGGGUUUUUAGGGUAGAUAGACCCCACAUCUGCUCCAUACCUUGCUGCAUGAGUUAUUUCCCUUCUCUGAGCCUUAGUUUCCUCAUUACAAAAAUGUAAAUAAAAAUAUCUUCUUUACAUG